UACAGAGGUCUCAAGCGUUGUUCGGAAUUACUGGGCGUAAAGGGUGCGCAGGCCGCGCGGGCAGUCAAAUGUGUAAUCCAGGAGCUCAACCCCUGAACUGCGCUUGAUACUUCCGCGCUCGAGCUUUGGAGAGGAGUCUGGAAUUCUCGGUGUAGCAGUGAAAUGCGUGGAUAUCGAGAAGAACACUUAGGCGGUAGCAAGACUCUGGACAAAUGCUGACGCUCAUGCACGAAGGCUAGGGGUAGCGAACGGG
rnacentral:rRNA from 1 species